rnacentral:lncRNA from 1 species
UAUAUGCAGCAGAACAACAUUAACGUGUUCUUUCUCCUUCCUCUCCAUAUCUCCUCCUCCCUUCACCACCACCAUUUCACACAAAAAUCGCCAUCUCACCACCGUCCCAUCCUCACCAUCUCACCGUUAUCAUCUCACCAUUCCUUCUUCUUUCUUCCUCUCCGCAAACAACCGCCGACAACGAUCCUCUCGCCUGAAACAAAAACUCAGAUACUAAUCUCACCGUUCCUUCUUCUUUCUUCAAUUUCUUUUCGAAAUCCUUAAUUUGCUUCAACCUGUUUUUAAUCCCUAUUUUUCUAAUCUUUCUUUCUAUGUGGUUUUGCAGAUACUCUAACGAGGAGGUAAAAUUUUCAUUCCUCAAACCCUAUCGGAGGAAUCGCAACACAAUCAGGUGAGAGAGAUAGAAAAUAAUAUUCACUUUCUUGCUUUUAUUCUCGCUUGAUUUCUAUUUUUUUUUUUUCUCAGUUAUUGUUCUCUUUCUCUCUGUUUUGUUCAUCCACAACAGGAAAAAAUUGGAA